rnacentral:rRNA from 1 species
AGUGCGCUCCUACGGGAAGGCAGCAGUGAGGAAUAUUGGUCAAUGGGCGGGAGCCUGAACCAGCCAAGUCGCGUGAGGGAAGACGGUCCUAUGGAUUGUAAACCUCUUUUGUCGGGGAGCAAAGAGGCCACGUGUGGUCAAAAGCGAGAGUACCCGAAGAAAAAGCAUCGGCUAACUCCGUGCC